GUUCGAAUGGAGAGAUUCAUCGUCAGCGAUCCUGGCACUUGUGCGGUUCGUGAUGCCGGGGAUUUUGGUCCCGCGGCACGCGUCUGUAUGAUUAAUUUGCCGGGUGUCGUCGUCGUGCACUUCUCCCCUAGUAGGACGUCGCGACCCGUUGGGUGUCGGUCUACGACUCGGGUGGGAGCCUGUCAUGUGUUUCGCUUCACGGCGUCAUGUGGCAGACCCCCGGUUGUCUGACCAGCUGCCCGGCGGUACUCGCACGGUAUCGAGUCGCAAUUAUUUGAACUGCGUCCGGCCCGCCGCAAGCGAGGCCAGUGUUUCCCGGAUGUACGGACUUAGCGCCGUCACCGGGCCUGGCCAGCUGUUGGCCGGCGGUGUCCUGGGACUGACUCUAUGUAUACCGGUCGGCGACGCUACUGCUUUGGGUACUUUCAGGACCCGUCUUGAAACACGGACCAAGGAGUCUAACAUGUGCGCGAGUCAUUGGGAUCUAUUAAGCCUAAAGGCGCAAUGAAAGUGAAGGUAGGCCUUGCGCCAACCGAGGGAGGAUGGGCCGCGUUACGAUGCGGCCCCGCACUCCCGGGGCGUCUCGUUCUCAUUGCGAGAAGAGGCGCACCCAGAGCGUACACGUU
rnacentral:rRNA from 1 species